GCAGAAGAAAUAUGAAUUCCCACAGCGAGUCCACGUGCUCACUUAUGGCCUGUCUGUAAAGGACGCACCCAGCCCGACGCCCGCAGCGAAGCACCUCUCGGUAAGUAGCAGUUACGACCGCGAACGAUGACUACGAAUGAGAGGCUGAAUGGUCACUGGGCCUGUUUUUCUAAAAAGAGACAAGGUCUCAUUCUGUUGCCCAAGCUGGAGUGCAGUGGUGUGAUCACAGCUCACUGCAGCCUCGACCUCCUGGACUCAAGAGAUCCUUCCACCUCAGCCUCCUGAGUAGCUGGGACUGCAGGUUUUUCAGCAGACAAUCACAACCAUGAAAACGCCCAAAAUGGCUCCAUGAAUGGAACGAUAAAAAGACCAAAGAGAUGGACACUAGCACAAAAACUUACGAGCCAAAAGGGACAGUGGCCUGCCGAGCCCUGGGCACAAUUAUUGAGAAUUGCUAUUGGUCCACGUGUCUCCAUCCCCCCGGCCUCCACCCUAGACCUGGCCACCUCUUCUCUCCCCUGGAUUCCCUGAAGCACCCUCAGUCUGGCCUUCCCACUCCUGUUGCCCACUCUCCAUGCCAUAGCCAAAGCGAUCUUUUAUAAAGGCAAGAUUGUGCCACUGCAUUCCAACCUGAGCGACAGCAAGACCCAGCCUC
rnacentral:lncRNA from 10 species